AUGAACGCUAGCUACAGGCUUAACCCCUGCAAGUCGCGGGGAAACGGCAUUGAGUGCUUGCACUCUUUGGACGUCGACCGGCGCACGGGUGAGUAACGCGUAUCCAACCUUCCCAUUACUGUGGGAUAACCUGCCGAAAGGCAGACUAAUACCGCAUAGUCUUCGAUGACGGCAUCAGAUUUGAAGUAAAGAUUUAUCGGUAAUGGAUGGGGAUGCGUCUGAUUAGCUUGUUGGCGGGGUAACGGCCCACCAAGGCUACGAUCAGUAGGGGUUCUGAGAGGAAGGUCCCCCACAUUGGAACUGAGACACGGUCCAAACUCCUACGGGAGGCAGCAGUGAGGAAUAUUGGUCAAUGGACGGAAGUCUGAACCAGCCAAGUAGCGUGCAGGAUGACGGCCCUAUGGGUUGUAAACUGCUUUUGUAUGGGGAUAAAGUUAGGGACGUGUCCCUAUUUGCAGGUACCAUACGAAUAAGGACCGGCUAAUUCCGUG
rnacentral:rRNA from 1 species